AUUGAACGCUGGCGGCAGGCUUAACACAUGCAAGUCGAGCGGGGUGAUGGUGCUUGCACUAUCACUUAGCGGCGGACGGGUGAGUAAUGCUUAGGAAUCUGCCUAUUAGUGGGGGACAACAUCUCGAAAGGGAUGCUAAUACCGAGUACGUCCUACGGGAGAAAGCAGGGGAUCACUUGUGACCUUGCGCUAAUAGAUGAGCCUAAGUCGGAUUAGCUAGGUGGUGGGGUAAAGGCCUACCAAGGCGACGAUCUGUAGCGGGUCUGAGAGGAGGAUCCGCCACACUGGGACUGAGACACGGCCCAGACUCCUACGGGAGGCAGCAGUGGGGAAUAUUGGACAAUGGGGGGAACCCUGAUCCAGCCAUGCCGCGUGUGUGAAGAAGGCCUUAUGGUUGUAAAGCACUUUAAGCGAGGAGGAGGCUCUUUUGGUUAAUACCCAAGAUGAGUGGACGUUACUCGCAGAAUAAGCACCGGCUAACUCUGUGCCAGCCGCCGCCGUAA
rnacentral:rRNA from 1 species